AUGUCCCCGUUCGCCUCCGCCGUGGACGCCGCGCUCGGCGAGGUCGCGCGCCGCGUCGACUUCGGCCUGUCCUGCGACUGCGCCAUCAGCCGCGGCGUCGCCAAGCGGCAGGUGGUCGACAACGCCGGCGUCCGGGAGGGCGCGCACGGGGCCGUGGUGGACACCGCCUUCGCCCGGGACGCGUUCCGCGGCGAGGCGUUCGUCGAGUACCUCUCCGCGCUCGCCGUCGCGCCGCUCGCCGGAGCUGACCGGCUCGAGCUCACCGUCGCCACCGCGCAGCUCAGGGCCUUCACCCGGUGGAGGGGCACCGGAGGCCUCCCCGUGUACACGGUUUGGUACGGCAUCCGCGACGUUGCCGAUGGCGCCAUGGGGGCCACGCCGGCACGCCGUGGCCGCGCCAGUGGCACCGCCAAGAGGCGACGGCCGAGGGGCGACAGUGCCGAUGGCAUAUGGAAGGACUCAAGGUGCAUCACCUGCGGCAGAGCAAGGGAGAGCGUGGAAGACGCCCAGGAGGUGGAGAACUACGAGCCGACCACAAAGAUGGGGAAGCUCAUGCGCAGGGCCGCACGCCGGAUGUCGCUGUCGCCGCCGGUGACCCGCAGAGCCGACCGCGCCACGCCCACUCCUCCGGCGAACGCUGCUGUGGUGACACGGUGCACAAGCGCUGCUGCCGAUCAUGCCGCUCAGCUGCAUGACGUCACCGUCACCACCGCUGCUCCUCCUCCGGCGAAGCCGCAGCACAAGGACGAGCAGCCUCGGCUGACCGGGCUGCUGCUGAACUUCACCGGCCCGACCGCCGUCCCUCCGGCGACCGACCUCGUCGACAUCUUCAGCCGGUUCGGGCCCGUGGUGGAGGCCAGGCCGGAAGGCUUCUCCGUCGCCAUGGUGAUCUUCGAGAGCAGCCUGGACGCCGCGGCGGCGUUCGCGGGCACGGCCAAGAUCGGCGCCCUCAGCCCCAACCUCAUCAGCUUCCGCCUCGCCUACUCGCUGUCCGCUCCCGCCGCGCAGGCCGAUGAUUCUCCGCAGAGCCCCAUGAACGCCGAUGAGAUGGAUCACCUGCUUGAUGAGGCCGAGGGCAUGGAUCUCCUCGACCUCCUCGCAGUCGAAGCUCUUCACUAG
rnacentral:rRNA from 1 species